rnacentral:misc_RNA from 1 species
CUCGGGUGGUGGGUGCCGGUGGAUGGAGACCCAAGCCGCCGGGGCGCCACUUUCAUUACCAAUGCUUCGAUCCGCGAAUACAUCAACGGCAUGAGAGCCAAGCACGUCCUCCUUGUCGCAGACUCUUGUUUCAGCGGGGCUCUGCUCGGGACACGCGCGCUACUUCCCAAAGGGGUGAAGAAUACAGAGUGGGUCGCCCGGUUGGCGGCCAAACCGUCGCGCUAUGCCAUCACGUCCGGGAACAAUGAACCGGUGAUGGAUCGCGGCAAAGAUGGACACAGCGUAUUU